CUCUUCCUUCUGAUUCUCCGAUCUGGUGAUGUCGGUGGUGAAGAUCUUCGAUUAGAUCUCGGAGGAAAGGAGAAAGCAAGAGGAUAAAGUGAAGAGGAUGCAUCAACGGGAGGAACAUUUUAAGCGUGUUAAGAUCUUCGGAUGAUCAUGAACCCUGAAAGGAGGCAGACCAUCGACACCUACAUUGAUGGAGUAGCUGCAGCUGCUAGGAAGUGCGAUGUUGGGGAAGAAGAGGAGAGUUAUGAGAUCGGUUGCAGUGAGGUGGACCACGAAGGCAGCAGCGGGACACGGGGGCGUGGCAUCAAGC